rnacentral:rRNA from 1 species
CAGUAGCCGCGGGAAUACGUAGGGUGCAAGCGUUAAUCGGAAUUACUGGGCGUAAAGCGUGCGCAGGCGGUUUGUUAAGACAGAUGUGAAAUCCCCGGGCUCAACCUGGGAACUGCAUUUGUGACUGGCAGGCUAGAGUAUGGCAGAGGGGGGUGGAAUUCCGCGUGUAGCAGUGAAAUGCGUAGAUAUGCGGAGGAACACCGAUGGCGAAGGCAGCCCCCUGGGCCAAUACUGACGCUCAUGCACGAAAGCGUGGGGAGCAAACAGGAUUAGAUACCCCCGUAGUCCCUGUCUCUUAUAC